UACGGGGGGGGCAAGCGUUGUUCGGAAUUACUGGGCGUAAAGGGCUCGUAGGUGGCCAACUAAGUCGGACGUGAAAUCCCUCAGCUUAACUGGGGAACUGCGUCCGAUACUGGAUGGCUUGAGUUUGGGAGAGGGAUGCGGAAUUCCAGGUGUAGCGGUGAAAUGCGUAGAUAUCUGGAGGAACACCGGUGGCGAAGGCGGCAUCCUGGACCAACACUGACACUGAGGAGCGAAAGCCAGGGGAGCAAACGGG
rnacentral:rRNA from 1 species